GCUGACACAUCCUGGCCAAUCUCCAGCAGACCCUCCCUCCCAGACCCUCCUACUUCCUGGACAGCAUCCAUGUUUCAACAUCCAUGUUUCAACAUGGAUGCUGUCCAGGAAGUAGGAGGGUCUGGGAGGGAGGGUCUGCUGGAGAUUGGCCGGGAUGUGUCAG
rnacentral:miRNA from 1 species